UACAGAGGUCUCAAGCGUUGUUCGGAUUCAUUGGGCGUAAAGGGUGUGUAGGUGGCGCCGUAAGUGGGGUGUGAAAUUUCGAGGCUUAACCUCGAAACUGCAUUCCAUACUGCGGGGCUUGAGGACUGUAGAGGAGACUGGAAUUUACGGUGUAGCAGUGAAAUGCGUAGAGAUCGUAAGGAAGACCAGUGGCGAAGGCGGGUCUCUGGACAUUUCCUGACACUGAGGCACGAAGGCCAGGGGAGCAAACGGG
rnacentral:rRNA from 1 species